rnacentral:lncRNA from 1 species
UGACAUUAUCAAAGAGUUCUCAAAGUCUCAUCUACUAUAUUCUAAAUACCAACAUUUACUUUCUUUACCUCACUAGUAAUGUAACCCUACAUUCCUCUAUAUUUCAUUAACAAUAAAUAAGAUACCCGUAAAUGAAAAUCUGCACCAAAUGAGUAAAAAAAGACCAAAAAAAUCCAAAAUCAAAUAUGGCUCGGCUCAGAUCAGAUCGACUCGGCUCGACAGCGACUCGAACACAGACAGCUUGGCUCAGGCACGAAAUGACCAAAUUGGGUCAACUCAGCGCACAGAAUGACCAGAUAGGGUCAGCUCAGCGCGCAGAAUGGUGAGAUCGGAUGUCCCCAUGUGUGGAAGGCUGGAAUGGCACGUGAAAGACGUAUGUUUGACAAUACAGCACAGUUCAGUGCGUGGCCGAAGCAGGGUGGCGUGCAAGAAGUCAAGACGAGUCGCCUCAAGGCACAGAACAGACAAGAUGAUACGGUGGAAGGCGUGGGACAGCAAAUCAGCCGAAUGCAUGUAGCCACUUGAAAGCUAGAGUCUAAACGCACAAUUUGCGUUGGAUCGCAUGCGAAAUGCCAAAAAAGAGCCAAAUCUUGGUGCACGACAAUCGUGCGACAUGAUCCCGACCGAAAUGAGGUGAUCCUUGACGAUGUGUGGGGAUCACACGCUUCCACUACCGGCAGCGCAUGUGGCUCACGCUCAUCAGAAACUUCUCUGGUUAGGUGUCAGUGAGCAACGACUUCUUCUAAGUGGUUGGUGAAGUUAGAGUUUUUUGAUAGGUGAGUA